rnacentral:rRNA from 1 species
CGAGGGGAGUGAAAAAGAACCUGAAACCGUGUACGUACAAGCAGUGGGAGCCCCACCACUAAGCCAGUGGUGAACUCCACAUACGCAUCCUUUGCUGAGGAUACGGUUAACGGAGCGAAAGCGAUGUUCAACCGCAAAAGAAGCAGAGGGGGCUUAGUGGUGGGGUGACUGCGUACCUUUUGUAUAAUGGGUCAGCGACUUAUAUUCUGUAGCAAGGUUAACCGAAUAGGGGAGCCGGAGGGAAACCGAGUCUUAAUUGGGCGUUAAGUUGCAGGGUAUAGACCCGAAACCCGGUGAUCUAGCCAUGGGCAGGUUGAAGGUUGGGUAACACUAACUGGAGGACCGAACCGACUAAUGUUGAAAAAUUAGCGGAUGACCUGUGGCUGGGGGUGAAAGGCCAAUCAAACCGGGAGAUAGCUGGUUCUCCCCGAAAGCUAUUUAGGUAGCGCCUCGUGAAUUCAUCUCCGGGGGUAGAGCACUGUUUCGGCUAGGGGGCCAUCCCGGCUUACCAACCCGAUGCAAACUGCGAAUACCGGAGAAUGUUAUCACGGGAGACACACGGCGGGUGCUAACGUCCGUCGUGAAGAGGGAAACAACCCAGACCGCCAGCUAAGGUCCCAAAGUCAUGGUUAAGUGGGAAACGAUGUGGGAAGGCCCAGACAGCCAGGAUGUUGGCUUAGAAGCAGCCAUCAUUUAAAGAAAGCGUAAUAGCUCACUGGUCGAGUCGGCCUGCGCGGAAGAUGUAACGGGGCUAAACCAUGCACCGAAGCUGCGGCAGCGAACGUAUCACCCAAGACAACUUUACGGAGUUAACGAUUGACGGAGCGAAGCGACGUCAAAGCGUUCAUUAAAGUCGAGUUGGCUUAGGGAUACGUUCGUUGGGUAGGGGAGCGUUCUGUAAGCCUGUGAAGGUGGCCUGUGAGGGUUGCUGGAGGUAUCAGAAGUGCGAAUGCUGACAUAAGUAACGAUAAAGCGGGUGAAAAGCCCGCUCGCCGGAAGACCAAGGGUUCCUGUCCAACGUUAAUCGGGGCAGGGUGAGUCGACCCCUAAGGCGAGGCCGAAAGGCGUAGUCGAUGGGAAACGGGUUAAUAUUCCCGUACUUGGUGUUACUGCGAAGGGGGGACGGAGAAGGCUAUGUUGGCCGGGCGACGGUUGUCCCGGUUUAAGCGUGUAGGUGUGUGUUCCAGGUAAAUCCGGUUCACUUUAACACUGAGGCGUGAUGACGAGGCACUACGGUGCUGAAGCAACAAAUGCCCUGCUUCCAGGAAAAGCCUCUAAGCAUCAGGUAACAUCAAAUCGUACCCCAAACCGACACAGGUGGUCAGGUAGAGAAUACCAAGGCGCUUGAGAGAACUCGGGUGAAGGAACUAGGCAAAAUGGUGCCGUAACUUCGGGAGAAGGCACGCUGACACGUAGGUGAAGUGAUUUACUCAUGGAGCUGAAGUCAGUCGAAGAUACCAGCUGGCUGCAACUGUUUAUUAAAAACACAGCACUGUGCAAACACGAAAGUGGACGUAUACGGUGUGACGCCUGCCCGGUGCCGGAAGGUUAAUUGAUGGGGUCAGCGCAAGCGAAGCUCCUGAUCGAAGCCCCGGUAAACGGCGGCCGUAACUAUAACGGUCCUAAGGUAGCGAAAUUCCUUGUCGGGUAAGUUCCGACCUGCACGAAUGGCGUAAUGAUGGCCAGGCUGUCUCCACCCGAGACUCAGUGAAAUUGAACUCGCUGUGAAGAUGCAGUGUACCCGCGGCAAGACGGAAAGACCCCGUGAACCUUUACUAUAGCUUGACACUGAACAUUGAGCCUUGAUGUGUAGGAUAGGUGGGAGGCUUUGAAGUGUGGACGCCAGUCUGCAUGGAGCCGACCUUGAAAUACCACCCUUUAAUGUUUGAUGUUCUAACGUGGACCCGUAAUCCGGGUUGCGGACAGUGUCUGGUGGGUAGUUUGACUGGGGCGGUCUCCUCCUAAAGAGUAACGGAGGAGCACGAAGGUUGGCUAAUCCUGGUCGGACAUCAGGAGGUUAGUGCAAUGGCAUAAGCCAGCUUGACUGCGAGCGUGACGGCGCGAGCAGGUGCGAAAGCAGGUCAUAGUGAUCCGGUGGUUCUGAAUGGAAGGGCCAUCGCUCAACGGAUAAAAGGUACUCCGGGGAUAACAGGCUGAUACCGCCCAAGAGUUCAUAUCGACGGCGGUGUUUGGCACCUCGAUGUCGGCUCAUCACAUCCUGGGGCUGAAGUAGGUCCCAAGGGUAUGGCUGUUCGCCAUUUAAAGUGGUACGCGAGCUGGGUUUAGAACGUCGUGAGACAGUUCGGUCCCUAUCUGCCGUGGGCGCUGGAGAACUGAGGGGGGCUGCUCCUAGUACGAGAGGACCGGAGUGGACGCAUCACUGGUGUUCGGGUUGUCAUGCCAAUGGCACUGCCCGGUAGCUAAAUGCGGAAGAGAUAAGUGCUGAAAGCAUCUAAGCACGAAACUUGCCCCGA